rnacentral:rRNA from 1 species
GAACGCUGGCGGCAUGCCUUACACAUGCAAGUCGAACGGCAGCACGGGAGCUUGCUCCUGGUGGCGAGUGGCGAACGGGUGAGUAACGCGUGAGCAACUUACCUUGGACAGCGGGAUAACACAGGGAAACUUGUGCUAAUACCGCAUGAAGUGCGGGAGUGACAUCACUCCUGUACCAAAGGAGUAAUCCGGUCUGAGAUGGGCUCGCGUCCGAUUAGGUAGUUGGUGAGGUAACGGCCCACCAAGCCCGCGAUCGGUAGCCGGACUGAGAGGUUGGCCGGCCACAUUGGGACUGAGAUACGGCCCAGACUCCUACGGGAGGCAGCAGUCGAGAAUAGUCUACAAUGGCCGGAAGGCUGAUAGUGCGACGCCGCGUGAACGAGGGAGCCCUUCGGGGUGUAAAGUUCUUUUCUAUACGAGCAGUGCUAUAUAUAUGGAUAGUAUAUAUAGAGGGAUAGUAGUAUAGGAAUAAGCAACGGCUAACUCCGUG